UGGGGAAUAUUGCACAAUGGGCGCAAGCCUGAUGCAGCGACGCCGCGUGAGGGAUGACGGCCUUCGGGUUGUAAACCUCUUUCAGCUCCGACGAAGCGCAAGUGACGGUAGGAGCAGAAGAAGCACCGGCCAACUACGUGCCAGCAGCCGCUGUAAUACGUAGGGUGCAAGCGUUGUCCGGAAUUACUGGGCGUAAAGAGCUCGUAGGCGGUUUGUCGCGUCGUCUGUGAAAUUCUGCAGCUUAACUGCAGGCGUGCAGGCGAUACGGGCAGACUUGAGUACUACAGGGGAGACUGGAAUUCCUGGUGUAGCGGUGAAAUGCGCAGAUAUCAGGAGGAACACCGGUGGCAAAGGCGGGUCUCUGAGUAGUAACUGACGCUGAGGAGCGAAAGCGUGGGUAGCGAACAGG
rnacentral:rRNA from 1 species